rnacentral:rRNA from 1 species
GACGUAGGUGGCGAACGUUAUCCGGAAUUAUUGGGCGUAAAGGGCGCGUAGGUGGCCUGACAAGUUAUCAGUGGCAAAUCGAGGCUCAACCUCGUGGAAACUGGUAAUACUGUCCGGCUUGAGUGCAGGAGAGGUUAACGGAACUCUAUGUGGAGGGGUAAAAUCCAUAGAUAUAUAGAUGAACAUCAAUAAAGGCGAAGGCAGUUAACUAUUCUGUUACUGACACUGAGGCACGAAAGCGUGGGGAGCAAACAGG